rnacentral:rRNA from 1 species
AGUGAACGCUGGCGGUAGGCCUAACACGUGCAAGUCGAACGGCAGCACAGUAAGAGCUUGCUCUUACGGGUGGCGAGUGGCGGACGGGUGAGGAAUACAUCGGAAUCUACUUUUUCGUGGGGGAUAACGUAGGGAAACUUACGCUAAUACCGCAUACGACCUACGGGUGAAAGCAGGGGAUCUUCGGACCUUGCGCGAUUGAAUGAGCCGAUGUCGGAUUAGCUAGUUGGCGGGGUAAAGGCCCACCAAGGCGACGAUCCGUAGCUGGUCUGAGAGGAUGAUCAGCUACACUGGAACUGAGACACGGUCCAGACUCCUACGGGAGGCAGCAGUGGGGAAUAUUGGACAAUGGGCGCAAGCCUGAUCCAGCCAUACCGCGUGGGUGAAGAAGGCCUUCGGGUUGUAAAGCCCUUUUGUUGGGAAAGAAAAGCAGCAGGUUAAUACCCCGCUGUUCUGACGGUACCCAAAGAAUAAGCACCGGCUAACUUCGUG